rnacentral:rRNA from 1 species
UACGGAGGAGGCAAGCGUUAUCCGGAAUUAUUGGGCGUAAAGCGUCCGUAGGUGGUUUGCCAAGUCUGCUGUCAAAGGAUGAGGCUCAACCUCAUAAGGGCAGUGGAAACUGGUGAGCUAGAGUGCGGUAGGGGUAGGGGGAAUUCCUGGUGUAGCGGUGAAAUGCGUAGAUAUCAGGAAGAACACCGGUGGCGAAAGCGCCCUACGGGGCCUGCAAUGACACUGAGGGACGAAAGCUAGGGGAGCGAAAGGG